GGUUGAACUGUCUCUGGGCAGCCAGGAAAUUCCCGGGGGGGGCGGUGAAGGGGGGAGGUGAGUUAAUUGGAUCCUGUCCCUGUUUGUGCCACUUGCCUCUCACCCCCGAUACAAAUUCUCUCUAGUUUUGCCCCUUUGCUCUCUCAGUGUCUCACACGGGCUAUAAAAUCUGGGGAGAUUUGCCCCCCCUCCCCUGCAAUGAUCAGUUCUCUCGUCUCCCCUGAUUUCCCCUCGGUCUCUCCAUGAGUCUGAUUUUCCACCUUCAGUUGCAUAGGUUGUGACAUGUUUUCUCUGCAGAUCUCAGAGGUUGAUAUAAAAUACCCUAAACAUUUGCCUCGCUUCUCUCUAGUUGUUUGUUUCUAAUUGAAUUUGUCCUGAGAUUUUCCCUUGUCUCUUUAAUUAUAAAAUAGCAAGAAAAUCUCAGAUUUACACCUUUCCUCAGCUUCUUGAACAUAGAUAUAAAAUGUUUGCAAAUGGUGCCCAUUUCCUCUCUAUUCAUUUAACAAACAUUGAUGUGAAACACUGAGAUUUUACUGCAUAUCUGAUGUAAACUGAUGUAAAAUCCCUUUGAUUUUCCACUUUUCUCUCUAUUAUUUGGAAAAAUAGAGCCAAAAUCUCUCAGAUUUCCAGCCUUUCAUUUCUGUGUUGUUUUCAAAUGUCAAUUAAAAUCCUUUCAUAUUUGGGGCUGUUCCCUGUGUUUCUCAAUCCCAGCAACUUCUUUCUUGGAGGAAAGGUGUUGCCCUGAAUCAUUCUCCAUCCUGGAGGUUGCAGGGGGUUAAAUUUCCUAGUGUUGAUCUUUCCCCUCUCCUUUGAGAACCACUUCUUCCUCCCUUUAUCUCUGUUAAAAUGUUUGCUGAUGAAAGAGACCAGCCACAUCUUUAAUACACAUCAAAGCUGGAGGCCUCCCCAUGUUUGAGGGAUCAGUGGUUCCCAGCUGGUAACGGGAGAGUUGGCUGGACCCUUUUCUUUUAUCCAGCUGGCAUGGGAUGAGGAGGUCACUCUGAGUGCAGCGUGGGUCCAGAAGUAUCCCAAGCCCCAUGACAAAGGGUCUCUGUGAGGGGUUGAUUCCCCCUCUGCUAAGAUGUAGCCACCUCUGGGGUGGAUCCAUGGUGGCCAUUAUUUGCUAGUGACAGGGCAUGAACAUUUCUUACCUUUCUUGCUCUCCAGGCCUUUCAUUCUGUUAAAGAAGCACCCCCCCAGGGCUCCCUCUUCCUGUGUGACUGGCCAGCAGGGGGUGGUGUAUUGCUGGGGGCCUGGUGGCUGCAGAACAGCAGGGGCUGUGGAAUAAUGUCCAUGUUUCACUCCAGUUUAUCCAAUCCUCUUGUUGGCCAGGGGAGAGAAAUGGCUGCAGAGGAGCCAGUUCAGGGGCCGUGAGCUUCGAGGACGUGGCUGUGUAUUUCACCAGAGGAGAGUGGGCUCUGCUGGACCCCACUCAGAGAGCCCUCUACAGGAAUGUCAUGCAGGAGAAGUACGAGAAUGUGACCUCGCUAGGGACCGGUGACCUUCGAAGAGGUGGCUGUGUAUUUCACCAGGGAAGAGUGGGCUCUGCUGGACCCUACAGGGGUGUCAUGCAGGAGAACUAGGUAGCUAUAUAUGAGGGGUGGUAUGCUGUGCCCCCUCAUAUGAGAAUGUGACCCUUACUCAUCGAGGUCACAGUCUCAUAGUCUCCAUGCUUCCUGUGCUAGGGCGUUUGCGCAGUUCACCCAG